rnacentral:rRNA from 1 species
CCGGCACAAGCGGUGGAGCAUGUGGUUUAAUUCGACGCAACGCGAAAACCUUACCUGGGCUUGACAUGGAGAGAAUCUUCUGGAAACAGAAGAGUGCCUCGUAAGAGGAGCUCUCACACAGGUGCUGCAUUGGCUGUCGUCAGCUCGUGCCGUGAGGUGUUGGGUUAAGUCCCGCAACGAGCGCAACCCUCGCCUCUAGUUGCCAGCAUUCGGUUGGGCACUCUAGAGGGACUGCCGGCGACAAGUCGGAGGAAGGUGGGGGUGACGUCAAAUCAUCAUGCCCCUUAUGACCUGGGCUACACACGUGCUACAAUGGGCGGUACAAAGGGCUGCGAACCCGCGAGGGGGAGCGAAUCCCAAAAAGCCGCUCUCAGUUCGGAUUGCAGGCUGCAACUCGCCUGCAUGAAGCCGGAAUCGCUAGUAAUCGCGGAUCAGCAUGCCGCGGUGAAUACGUUCCCGGGCCUU